AUGGCAAAGUUAUGGAUAGUUGGAUCUCCUCACCGGAGUGCUUCCUUUACAGCAGGCUCCCAUCAUCUUUUCCUUCCAGGUGCUCUCCUUGCUUUGCUCAGAUCCUUACAUGGCGUCCAAUGAUACCCCUCCACCUUUCCCCUGUUCUUCCAGCCUUGAAGGACUCUGUCCCCUCAACCUCACUAUGCACUGGGUUUUGGAAUGUAGUCCUACUCAGAAUCCACAUCCAAGCCACAGCUGAUAUAUUUCUGAGGUCCUCAUCCCGAACCCUACAUCUCUGUAGUAAGCACAAUUUUGAUCUCCAUGAUUUUCAUCCCUUAGUGUUAUUCCUGUGGUUAUAUUACAUUACAUGACAAAAAGGGCUUUGCAGAUAUAAUUAAGAUUACGAAUAAGCUGGCCUUAAAAUAGGGAAAUUAUCCUUGACUAUUCGAGUGGAUCCAAUAUUCUUUAAAAUCCUUCAAAAUCCAUGUUCAUUAAAAGCAAAAGAGGAAGGCAGAGAGAUUCAAAGCAUGAGAAAGAUUCCACACAUUGUUGCUGGCUUUGAAUAUGGAGGGGGCCAUAACCGAAGAUGGGGCAGCCUUUAGAUGCUGAGAACAACCCCAGCUGACAAGCCAGCAAGGAAGUAUGGACCUCUGUCCUAAAAUGGCACAAAAUUGAAUUCUGUCAACAAUUUGAAUGUCUGGAAGCUUAUUCUCCUCCAGAGCCUCGAGAUACAAGCCCAGGUUGGCUGACGCCUUGACUUUGGCCUUGUGAGAGCCUAAGCAGAGAACCUAGUUGAGGCACGUUGGGUCCAGGCUUCUGACCUAGGGAAAUUUUGAGACAAUAAAUGAGUAUUGUUUUAGGCUGCUGGGUUCGUG
rnacentral:lncRNA from 1 species